AUACGGAGGGGGUUAGCGUUGUUCGGAAUUACUGGGCGCAAAGCGCACGUAGGCGGACUGGAAAGUUGGGGGUGAAAUCCCGGGGCUCAACCCCGGAACUGCCUCCAAAACUUCCAAUCUAGAGAUCGAGAGAGGUAAGUGGAAUUCCUAGUGUAGAGGGGAAAUUCGUAGAUAUUAGGAGGAACACCAGUGGCGAAGGCGGCUUACUGGCUCGAUACUGACGCUGAGGUGCGAAAGCGUGGGGAGCAAACAGGAUUAGAUACCCCAGUAGUCC
rnacentral:rRNA from 1 species